UACGUAGGGUGCAAGCGUUUGUCCGGAAUUAUUGGGCGUAAAGGGCUCGUAGGCGGUCCAUCACGUCGGGAGUGAAAAGCUGGGGCUUAACCCCAGUCCUGCUUCCGAUACGGGUGGACUAGAGGUAGGUAGGGGAGAACGGAAUUCCUGGUGUAGCGGUGAAAUGCGCAGAUAUCAGGAGGAACACCGGUGGCGAAGGCAGGUCUCUGGGCCGCAACUGACGCUGAGGAGCGAAAGCAUGGGGAGCGAACAGG
rnacentral:rRNA from 1 species